CUAGGGUAACUCAAUAGGUAGAGUGUCCGGCUGUCGACCGGACAGUUGCGUGUUCAAGUCCCGUCCCUUUU
rnacentral:tRNA from 1 species